CUGUCUUUGUCCUCCUUGCAGAACGAGCAGGCGUUUGAGGAAGUGUUCCAAAAUGCAAACUUCAACACAUAUGAGUUCAGGAUCCGCGUCAAACUCGAGACCUACAAUGAUGAAUCUCGCAUUAAGGCUACAGCACUGGAUGUCAAACCUGUGAACUACAGAGAAUACAGCAAGAGGUUGAUCACAAGCAUCAGGAAAAAUGCUCAGCUUGGAUGAGAGGGCUGGUGCUGAUUGAUCUGAAGCCAAAGCUUCCACUUCCAGGAAAAACUCAAGAGAUAAUGUUAAAUUGAUUUCUCCCCACCCUGUGUGAGACGAUUUGGCAUUAGUUACACCAUGCAUGGUAGUCCAGUGUAGUGGGCUGAGUGAUUUAAUGCAUUUCUCUGAACAUAUGCUACUGGUAGGUAAGAUUGCACUCAAAUGGCCACGAUAUUGUAGACUUCUGUGGUCAAUUAAACUAGGAUAGUGCUUAAGAGAACUCUUCUAGACAGAUUGCCAGUGUCUUUAGGCAAAGCAUUCAGAAUGUCUGAAGUAACUUUGCUUGCUUGAUAUAGCUAAAGCUAAAUUCUAUAACCAUUGCAAGGAAGUAGUGACAACCUUAGCACUUGGACUUCCUCGGCUAAAGGUAGGAGGAAGACUGUCAUACAGUCUUCAGAUACAGGCUACAAAGAACAGGUCUAUUAGCACAAGUUAGCUCUCUUCCCUAGAAUUCAAAGGCUUUCCCUUUCCAUAGGUGCCAUGCAGUUAAUGCUUGGAAUGGCAAUAUGGUAGAAUUAUUAAUCAAAGACAUAUCUCUCAUAUCUGAAGAAUAUCCUUCCUUCAGGGUUUAAUAGACUGAGUCAGAUGGGUCUGAUAUUAAUCAAAAUUGUCUCUUCUGAGGAAAGCAGAUAAGCAUUGACUCUCCAUCCCCCAGGGAAAUCCAGACAACUACAAAGCAUUGCUUUAGUUUUCAGUUCAAUUAAUACUAUGUUUUGACUGAUUUUAGCACAUUUCUUGCCUACAUAUACUUUGUAUGUUUGUAUGUUCAGUUUCUUUGGUUUUAUGUGUAAUGUUAAUCAUAAAGAGAUCUUUAAGUGGGGGGAGCUUUGUUUCAAUAAACAGUUUAAUUCCUA